UCCCGCGUACUGCUGGCGCGCCUGCAGAGAGCACCUGCAUCGGAAGGAGACUGCUGCGCCAAGAAAGCCAUUUAUUCCACACUUUUUGACUUUUUCAAGGUGAUGUUUUCUUCUUUAUAUAUUCCGUGUGUUCCAGAAUCAUGCCUCCAACCCGGAGAGACAUUUUCAACUUGCUCUUUGUUGAUAGCACAUUUUUUAAUGAUGUGUGUUAAGUUGCGCAGCGGGAACAAACUUUAAGAGCUUGAAUUAAAUGGACAUUUUUUUUUUAAAUAAAUGACGGAACGUGAGUGACCCAUUGAUUGAGAGAAUCAAACGUUUCCGCGGCUCUGGAUCGGAAAGUCAGAAGAAGUCGUGAUCAGCGCGGAGGGGAUUUGCUAAACGUAUAUGUACGGAUGAUACAACAUGGGUCCGAUGCUGAAUGAUGGCCGAGUGACACAUCUCCUCUUUCCUCUCCUGCUUCUUUUGCGGGUCCCCUUAUUGUUGAGCUUUGGCGAGCGUACAUGCCCCAACAGUUGUCGUUGUGAGGGGAAAACCGUUCAUUGUGAUUCAUCUGGCUUCUUAGAUGUCCCAGAAAACAUUUCGGUUGGGUGCCAGGGCCUCUCCCUACGCUAUAAUGAACUGCACACCCUGUUACCUUAUCAAUUUGCCCACCUGGGUCAGCUUCUGUGGAUAUACUUGGACCACAAUCAGAUUUCAGCAGUUGACAGUCGAGCAUUCCAGGGAGUCCGCAGGCUAAAAGAGCUUAUAAUGAGUUCCAACAAGAUUACGUCUCUGCACAAUUCCACCUUUCAUGGAAUUCCAAAUCUUCGCAGUCUAGACUUGUCAUAUAACAAGUUGGAAAUCCUGCAGCCGGGACAAUUCCAUGGGUUGCGAAAGCUUCAAAACCUGCACUUACGGUCAAAUGGUCUCUCUAACAUCCCUAUAAGAGCCUUCCUCGAGUGCAGAAGUCUGGAGUUUCUGGAUCUGGGUUACAAUAGAAUCAAGGCUCUUACCCGCACCACCUUUUUAGGGUUACAGAAGCUGAUGGAGUUGCAUCUAGAGCACAACCAGUUCACACGGAUAAACUUUUUCCUGUUUCCAAGACUUGCCAAUCUAAGAUCACUUUAUUUGCAGUGGAACCGCAUUAAGGUCGUCAACCAGGGACUUCCAUGGACGUGGUAUACACUGCAGAAACUUGAUUUAUCUGGAAAUGAGAUCCAGACCCUAGACCCAGCUGUGUUCCACUGCUUGCCCAACCUUCAAGUUCUCAACCUGGAAUCCAACAAACUGUCUAAUGUAUCACAAGAGGCGGUGUCAGCGUGGAUCUCACUGACUUCCAUCAGCCUUGCUGGGAACAUGUGGGAUUGUGCCACAGGUAUUUGUCCACUCGUGGCUUGGUUGAGGAAUUUCCGUGGCACUAAAGACACUACUAUGAUAUGCAGCAGCCCAAAAUAUCUCCAAGGAGAGAAAAUUAUGGAUGCCACAAGAAACCAUGGCAUUUGUGAGGAAACUGAUUAUGUUCUCACUGAGACACCCUCACCAAUGUCAGAGCUUUUUUCGGAAGCCACCAAUGAGCCGACAUUUGCCCCCACAAGUGGGUCUCCACUCAUGCCACCAACCUAUGGUCCACUCCCACCUUUCAGGCCUCAACCUAUUCCACAUCCUACACUCCCAGGGCACAUGAGCAAAGAUCCAAGAGACUCAGUAGCACGUAGUCGGCCCACUCACAUACUACCUCCAGAGAUGGAGCACAUGACUCUACAUAAAGUGGUGGUGGGAAGCGUGGCACUCUUCUUCAGCAUGUCUCUAAUUUUGACAAUUAUCUAUGUACUCUGGCGGCGCUACCCAGGGGCCACGAGAUUGCUCCAGCAACGAUCCAUGGUGGGACGAAGGUGUCGCAAAAAGAGUCCAGAGCCGGAGCAGGACCUAAGUACCCAGCUCCAAGAGUAUUACAUGAGCUACAACCCUGCUGCCACACCGGAGGCAUUGGAAGUGCUUGGCAACGGCACCGGUUCCUGCACUUGCACAAUUUCUAGCUCCAGGGAGUGUGAGGUAUGAUCCAUUGCAUCUGCCUAAAAAUUGAAAUCAAAUUCAAAAUACAAAGACUCAUCGGCAAGAAUGAGUAUACAUGUCCACGCCCCUUACCUGGUGCCUGGCUGGGGGAUCUGACUACCAUCCAUUAGGAAGAACUGCUUUGGAUCGUGAUCAUCUUAACACAAACGAAAAGGAUAAUUACGCACAGAACACACAAGGAUCAUCUUAAAAUUGUUCAGUGAAAAACUACAACUAAAAUCCUCCAAAUUACCAUUCACAAAAAUAAAAACUGCAGCUCGAGUUUGAGAGGUAUUAAUACCUUUUUAAUAACUUGUACCCCAGAGGCAGAAAACCUUCAGAAUUUCAGAUACUGAUCGCCUACUGUGGAAGAUCAUCAUUAAAAGGAAAUGACUCAUCUUGACCAUAGUGGAUUUUGUCUCUGUGAGGACGAUGAUGGUGAUUGGUUUCAAGGAAAGAGACAUGCUGUAUGUACAUAUACAAGAGGCUUUAACAAGAGUUACUGAUGAAGACGUACUCAUCAAGGAGCUCUGCUCCUCUGACAGACCUGUGUGAAAUUUCUAAUUGAGUUGGAAGAUUUUUUUUCCCAGUUUGAAAAGACCAGAUUGGUGUAUAUGUGCCUCACUGGAUCAGGAUCAGUCUUUUGUAUUUGCACUUGUUGGUAAAGACAAAUACGCUUUACCGGGCGUGAGAUGAGAGAAACAGUCAGAGCUGAGACUAUCCCAAGCCAAUGACUUUUGCUAUUAUGUGUUUGUUUUUAAUUUAUUUUAUUUGACUUUUUUGUUCAAAGUGGUUUCUUAUGAUGAACAGGCCUCGACUAUCUGGUCUGAAUAACAGAAAAUGCAAUCAGGAGUAGAGUAGAAAAAAAAAGAGAAAUGCUCAUGCCAUGAAGAAAAUGUACUUUUCUAAGAAUAUAAUGUUAUUAAUGUUGUACUUUAAGGGUAUUCGUUUCUGCCAUUUUUAACAACAAAUAACGAAUGCACUGCUUUUGCUGUUGCCGCUUCUGACCUGAUGAAAAUCUCAAUGAAGUCGUGUUUUUCCACUCUUUUUUUUUCAGCACAUUUUUACUUCCUUGGCAUUGUAAAAAUCUGACUCAGCAUCUCAUGAACGUCUCAUCAUGUGAAGGAGAAAGCAUGGUUUCUUCUCACCUGCUGAGUGCAUUCCAUUUCCUCAGGUUUCAUUGGUGAUCAAAUGUUGACCUGAAAAUGAAAAUAUAACUCAUCACAAAUAAGACAAUUGUCUUCGAUGGAAUAGUUUAAAAUGUAUAAUUCAAAAAAAAUAAUUAUAAGUGCCAUGCUGUUCUCAUAAGAAUUUAGUUGUACAGUCACAGUGCUCGUUACUGCAGCGAAAGGAACGGUUUAGGUGGCAACACCCUCAACUUUAAUAGUAACUUUAUUCUACAAAUUAACAAUACAUCACCAUAUUUUUGAAUUAAUCUCCUACAAAUCCAUCAAAGUCCUCAUCUCCUGUAGCUGAAUUGACAAUAUUGCCAUCAAACAUGCCGGGUUCCUUCUCAUCAUUGUUAGAGUCAGCCUCCUGGAAUGAUGGUAAACUCUGAAUGUUAAUGUACGUGUUGUUAAGUGUACGUACUGUAAUACUACGUCAUGUUGGUUUAUCGCUGCCAGCGCAGUAUUACGUUCCUGUGUCCAACACUCAAGCAAGCAGAGCACUUACCGAAGUAACACAACAACAUUUUUACAGAUUUUGGAACUCACUGCCCACAUAAGGUGCAGCGGAUUAUGGGACACUUCAUCGAUUUUUGAGAAAAUUACAGGCUUUUAAGUGUGCCUUAUAGUGCGGAAAAUACCGUAACUCGGCAUUUAUGUCAUGGGGUUUUUUUCACGUCCUGUUUUCCUUAAAGAUAUAUGUUUUCACAUUAAACUAAUACAAAAGUCAACCAUGCUUGCUUUAAACGAAUUGUACUGUUCUAUUGUAUUAAAUGAUCCAGAAGAAUAGCAAAUAUCUUAGAGAUUAUCACUUAUUAUUGUUGCAAAAUAUUACAAUCAUCGCCUAUGAGUUACUGUACAAUUCCCAUUUCAGGUUGAUAAUGAAACAAUUAGGGCUACAACUAGUCUAUUAAUCAGAAGCAUGUUCGAUUAAUCGGUUAAGAAUAAAUACAUUGCUGGGAGAAUGUACAGUCGUCCCUCGCAAUAUCGUGGUUCGAUUAUCACUCCCUUGCUAUAUUGUGAUUUUUCAGAAAUUCAUUCAUUCAUUUUCUACAGCUUAUCCUUACGAGGGGUGCUUAAAUCUAUCCCAGCUGUCUUCAGGCGAGAGGCGGAGUACACCCCGGACUGGUCGCCCGUCAAUCACAGGGCACAUAUAGACAAACAACCAUUCACACUCACAUUCAUACCUAUGGACAAUUCGGAGUCGCCAAUUAACAUAGCAUGUUUUUGGAAUGUGGGCGGAGAAAACCCACGCAUGCAAACUCCACACAGAGAUGACCAAGGGUGGAAUUGAACUCGGGUCUCCUAGCUGUGAGGCCUGGGCGCUAACCACUCUCCACCAUGCAGCCCCCUUUUCAGAAAUUAAUUCCCACAAUAAUUUUUUUUUUCUCAUCACAUUUCAAUCUCACAAACCCCUUAUUAUUAACAUUGAAUUCUAUGUCAUGGAAAUUCAGUUAAGCUCUAUAAAUGAGGGAUGUCAAAUCUGUGAGAGCAUGACAGAACUAAAGCUUGAUUUUAUUCUAAAUUCUUAUGAGAACAGGUUGUUUCAUCACAUCAUCAAAAGGCGCCUCCAUUUCCGUCAUUUGUAAAAGUGCUCUUUUAGUGAAUCAGCUUCCUCUUAUACGUGCAAUGUGUGUGUCUUUGUAAGUCUUGCAGUGGCGGUGUUCAUUCAGAGAGCCUGUCCUGUACAGAUAACUGAGCACUUUUUUUUUUUUUAUACAUUAAAACGACCUGCUUUGCUGUCCUCAAAAUAACCAUCCCACAUUCACUACCUUGCUGCGUGCUGUUCUUUGUGUGCUUGUGGUUCAUCCAGUUCUUAAUUAGAAGCUAUAUUAAGUUGUGACUUGUUUCUCCAAACCUUUAAAUGUAACCCUUUCUACACUGGGAAAAGUCAUUUUCUAUUGUAAAUUCCUGCUUCCCUCAUUGUUGAUGCUUAGCGGCUGUGUUCUUUGUUCACUUUCAACUGUUUUUUAAUGAAAAUAUUGACUUGGUUGGUCCGCAAUAUGAAUUGGUAAAAUAAAAUAUGACUCAGCCAUAUCCUGUUUCUACUCCACAAUUGUAUCUCAUUGUUCGGUGUGGUACAUUUCUUCACACCCGGUGAAGACCAGCCUAUU